rnacentral:rRNA from 1 species
GACGAACGCUGGCGGCGUGCUUAACACAUGCAAGUCGAACGGUGAACCUCUUCGGAGGGAUCCGUGGCGAACGGGUGAGUUAAAAGUGGGCCAACUGCCCCCCGCCCUUGGGUAAAUUCAAAGAAUUGGGGCCAAUACCGGAUGUUCCCCCGCUUCCGCCUGGGGGGUGGUUGAAAGGGUUUCCGGCUGGGGAUGGGCCCGCGGCCUAUCAGCUUGUUGGUGGGGUAGUGGCCUACCAAGGCGACGACGGGUAGCCGGCCUGAGAGGGUGACCGGCCACACUGGGACUGAGACACGGCCCAGACUCCUACGGGAGGCAGCAGUGGGGAAUAUUGCGCAAUGGGCGGAAGCCUGACGCAGCGACGCCGCGUGGGGGAUGACGGCCUUCGGGUUGUAAACCUCUUUCAGCAGGGACGAAGCGCAAGUGACGGUACCUGCAGAAGAAGCACCGGCCAACUACGUG